GUUGACAGCCAUUUUCAAAAUGUCCCCUACACGCAAAUUGAGGACGAAAGAUCGUUAAAAGGAAAACAAAAUUUUGUGUUAUAUUGAUCAAUUACUGAUCUAUAUAUUUUGCAUUUUUAUGAAUUCAAAUAAACAUGAAAUAAACAUUGGAAAAUAACUUUUAUAACCUAUAAGUAUCAUUAGAAGAUCUUGUAGGAAUAAUGUCUACGAAAAAACAAAAUGUAAAGAUUUGUUGUUUCUGUGGUCUUGCAGAAGACAAUGAAUUUGAGUUUGGAAAAUUUUAUGAAUAUCGUGGUAUUGUUACACAUUAUUAUUGUUUGUUAUUAUCAUCCAACAUGGAACAAAAAGGUAGAGACAAUGAAGGUAUUUUAGGAUUUCUAUUAGGAGAUAUACAAAAAGAGUUGCGUAGAGGAAAAAGAUUGGUAUGCUUUUACUGUAAAAAAUCUGGUGCCACAUUAGGUUGUUGUAAUACAAAAUGUAAACGAAUAUUCCAUUUUCCUUGUGGCUUAAAAGCUGGAACUCUUCAUCAAUUUUUUGGUGAAUUUAGGUCGUAUUGUAUAAAUCAUAGGCCCAAACAAAAAUUUAGCGUUUAUACAAAAGAAUUAAUUAAGGAAAAAAUAGAUGUAAUAUGUUAUAUUUGUUAUGAUAAGGUAAACAUUAAGAAUUUAAUUGAUGUAUUAUGGACACCUUGCUGUAAAAAAGAUGCUUGGUUUCAUAAAAAAUGUGUUCAGCAACUUGCUUCUAAUGCAGGUUAUUUUUUUAAGUGUCCACUAUGUAAUAACAAAAAGGAAUUCCAAAAAGCAAUGCUAGAACAGGGUAUUUUUAUUCCAAGCCAGGAUGCAUCUUGGGAGCUUGAACCAAAUGCAUUUCAUGAACUUUUAUACAGACACAACCGUUGUGAUGCUGUGACAUGUUUAUGUCCAAAAGGCAGAAAUCACACAAGCAUAAAUGCAAAAUGGGAAUUGGCAUUAUGUCGAACAUGUGGUUCUCAAGGAAUUCAUAUGGCAUGUGGUCAACUAAAAUGGGCCAAACCUAUUUGGAAUUGUGAUGAAUGCAUAUCUAUAUUAGAUAAAGUAAAUCACUCGUCAAAUAAAGUAUCAGAAACUGUAAAUAUUACUUAUCAUGGUACGGACACAGAUGCCAGCGAUUCAGAAAUUUCUGUGUGUGAAUCACAAAAUAAGGAUGAUUUUUCUAUAGUGUCAUAUUCACCUUCAAGUGCAACAUCUCAAACUUUUGAACAAAAUCCAACUAACAUUUCAACAAAGAAUAUAUCUGAAAAUAACUGUAGUAGUUCUAAUCAAAAUAUGUUUACAAUAUCAUCAGUAAAUUCACCAGAGAAAAGUUCAAAUAUUACUUUAAACCGAUCAGAAAAUAAAAAUAUAUCACUAAUUGAUCAAAAUAAAACUAUAAUACAAACAAAUCAAGAAAAAGGACAAACGGAUUUAAAAGAAACUAUUAACAGAUUAUUAACAGAUGAAAAACGAAGUAUAUUAAACAAAAGUCAAGACAAAAACUUACAAAGUGAAGAAGAAUCGAUUUCUAGGGAUAAAAAGGUUGACUUGAUCAUGAUUGAUAGUGAUGAAGAUGAUAUUGAAAUUAUAAGUAAUUUAAAAAAGUCAGACAUAAAAGGUCAAACUUUAAUGAACAUGGAUCUUCCUAACUGUGAUAUAAAUACAAAAAAUAAAAAUCCGGAUCAAUUAAUAAAUAUUUCAUGUAGUUCAUCAUAUAUACCUGAAACAUAUAAUAAUCAAAUGAAAACAAACAGAAAAACUUCAGAUAACUUAAACAAAAGAAAAGAUUGUGAAAUUGUAACUGUAAAUAAUGUAAAAGAUAAUAUGUUUUCAGAAAAUGAAAAUCAUGAAGACGUAGAUAACUCACCUGUUAUGAACAUCAAAAUUACUAAUGUAACAUCUUUAUCACCUGAAGUUUUUGCGAGUGUACCUAGUCUGGAAAGAUUGGAUAAUCAUAAAGUAUUACAAUUAAAUACUAAACCUUCAAUGAGUUUAAAUAAUUUUGAAAAUUUACAAACUGAAGAUAGAAGACUAUCAUUUUCGAAAUAUCAAUCUAAUGAGACAAAAACAAGCUCAAAGAGAAAACAUGAAACAAAUAUAUGUGUAAUUGGUACUCACACAAAUGGAGUACAAUCUGUGACCAUAACUAACAUAACACCUAAAAAAGUAAGAACAAGUUAUUUAGAAGAAAAUAUGGAAGCUUCAUGUAGUAGUACUACCUAUAAUGAAGUUAAGCAGCAAAUUGCUAACCAGAAUAAUAUAAAACCAUCACAAAAAUACGUUAACGAUAGGAAUUAUCAAUCGGAUUUGGAUAUUUUUAAUUUAAAUAAUUAUAGAAAAAAUAAAAUUUCUUGUCCAAGCAGUACUACAGAGGUAUUUACUCCAACGCUGGAAUUAUCAAAUCACAAUAUAGCAGAAAGCCAAGUUAAAAGUGCUCCUUCAUGGGCUUCUGAUGCUAGUACUACUAUUAAUAAAGAUGUAAUUAUUACUCGUAUUCGAAAUAAUAGUACACAUCAGUCGUCGAAUACAAAACAAAAUUUCACUAAAAGAAAAACGACAUCAUCUAAAAAUUCGGAUAGUUCUGAAAUUAAUAACGAAAUACAAUCUACCUUGAAACAGUGUAUGUCUUGGGGUUCUAACAGUUUGACGGAGAUGCAGGCACCAGUUUUACCAACGAGUCAACAGACGAUUGUAUCCAAAGAAAUGACGACCGGAUUAAUCCAAAAAGAGCAUCGAUUAACAAAAGAAGUUUAUUACAGUGUAUUGACUCCAGAGAAAAUGGCUGCAAGAAACAUCUCAACUUCAAUUCGUUUUCCGAAAUCGCAAGUAAUCCUAACGCCUGUGAUAAACCUAGAUUGAUACCAGAAUCUGUACAAUUACAAGAUCUUAAAUUUAAAGUUAAAGAUUCUAAUAGCGUACAGAUGAUCUUAUAUGAUACGUUUUCUGUAAAUAUCCAUAUGAAUACUGCUAUGAAGAAUCACGUAAGGAAUUCGGCCGCAUCCGUAGGAGU
rnacentral:misc_RNA from 1 species